AUAUUGGUUGCUCGGUGGUUAGCGCUUCGGGCUAGCAACCCGCGGCUCACGGGUUCGAAUCUCCGCCUCGGAGU